rnacentral:rRNA from 1 species
GACGUAGGGCGCGAGCGUUGUCCGGAUUUAUUGGGCGUAAAGAGCUCGUAGGCGGUUUGUCGCGUCGUCCGUGAAAACUCACAGCUUAACUGUGAGCUUGCGGUCGAUACGGGCAGGCUAGAGUUCGGUAGGGGAGACUGGAAUUCCUGGUGUAGCGGUGAAAUGCGCAGAUAUCAGGAGGAACACCGGUGGCGAAGGCGGGUCUCUGGGCCGAUACUGACGCUGAGGAGCGAAAGCGUGGGGAGCGAGCAGG